CAUAUCCCUAAAGGUACACUCUGUCAGCAUCACCCAACCCACCACAUAUCCUUAAAGUACACUCUGUCAGCAUCACCAAACCCAACCACAUAUCCCUAAAGUACACUCUGUCAGCAUCACCCAACCCAACCACAUAUCCAAGGUACCUCUGUUCAGCAUCACCCAACCACACAUCCCUCAAGGUACACUCUGUCAGCAUCACCCAACCCAACCACAUAUCCCUAAGGUACCCUCUGUCCAGCAUCACCAAACCACACAUCCCUAAAGGUACACUCUGUCAGCAUCACCCAACCACACAUCCCUCAAGGUACACUCUGUCAGCAUCACCCAACCACACAUCCCUCAAGGUACACUCUGUCAGCAUCACCCAACCACACAUCCCUAAAGGUAACUCUGUCAGCAUCACCCAACCACACAUCCUAAAGGUACACUCUGUCAGCAUCUACCCAACCACACAUCCCUCCAAGGUACACUCUGUCAGCAUACCCCAACCACACAUCUCAAGGUACACUCUGUCAGCAUCACCCAACCACACAUCCCUAAAGGUACCACUCAUUGUCAGCAUCACCCAACCCAACCACAUAUCCCUCAAGGUACACUCUGUCAGCAUCACCCAACCCAACCAACAUUCCCUAAAGGUACACUCUGUCAGCAUCACCAACCCAACCACAUAUCCCUAAAGGUACACUCUGUCAGCAUCACUCACCAACCCAACCACUAUCCCUAAAGGUACACUCUGUCAGAUCACCCAACCCAACCACAUAUCCUAAAGGUACACAGGAACAAUCUUUAAUUCAUUAGCCUAGUUAUUGGCAGUCAUCCAACUUAAGGGAUAAUGGAUAUCAUCAACAGCAUUUAGAGUUGAUUAUUGAGCCCAAAUGAUUACUAGAGCCAGUCACACUGAAAUGAUCAUAGAACAGUCACACUAACUGAAUGAUACUAGAACCAGUCGCACUAACUGAAAUGAUUACUAGAACCCAGUCACACUAACUGAAAUGAUUACUGAACCAGCGCCAUUACUAACUGAAAUGCUCACUAGAACCAGUCGCACUAACUGAAAAUGAUCACUAGAACCAGUCCACUAACUGAAAUGAUUUACUAGACACCAGUACGCACUAACUGAAAUGAUUACAGAACCAGUCCACACUAACUGAAAUGAUUACUAGAACCAGUCACACUAACUGAAAUGAUUCUAGAACCAGUACCACUAACUGAAAUGAUUACUAGAACGUCACACAUAACUGAUAAGAUUACUAGAAACCAGUCACAAUAACUGAAAUGAUUUACUAGAACCAGUCACACUAACUGAAAUGAUCACAGAGCCAGUCACACUAAUGAAAGCUAAUAAACCAGUCCCACUAACUGAAAGUCUGACCAAUGAUCACUAGAACCAGUCACCCACUAACUGAAAUGAUUACUAGAAACCAGUCACUAACUGAAAUGAUUACUAGAACCAGUCACCACUAAUGAAAUGAUUACUAGACCAGUCACACUACUGAAAUGAUUACUAGAACCAGUCAACUAACUGAAAU
rnacentral:lncRNA from 1 species